GCUUCCGUGAGGAAGGGUCUGGAGGAAGCCAGCGGCAAACCUACAAGCUGACGGACAGAAACGUCAUAGAAGGCCGAGAUAGUCCUGGGGCGAGUUGGCACAACACAACAAAGCCCAUUGGUUCAGGGAACACGGUAAAUGACGCAGUUGUGUAGGGACAGUUCACGGU
rfam:Oscillatoriales cyanobacterium 'hensonii' Contig_225, whole genome shotgun sequence.